rnacentral:rRNA from 1 species
UACGGAGGGGGUUAGCGUUGUUCGGAAUUACUGGGCGUAAAGCGCGCGUAGGCGGAUCAGAAAGUAGGGGGUGAAAUCCCAGGGCUCAACCCUGGAACUGCCUUUAAAACUCCUGGUCUUGAGUUCGAGAGAGGUGAGUAGAAUUCCGAGUGUAGAGGUGAAAUUCGUAGAUAUUCGGAGGAAUACCAGUGGCGAAGGCGGCUCACUGGCUCGAUACUGACGCUGAGGUGCGAAAGCGUGGGGAGCAAACAGG